rnacentral:tRNA from 1 species
CUCGCCGUAGCUCAGUUGGAAGAGCAGUUGACUGUAAAUGUAAACGAAAGCAAUUGAGUAGUAAAUCAAUUGGUCGCCGGUUCGAGUCCGGUCGGUGAGA